ensembl:snRNA U1 U1 spliceosomal RNA
AUACUUACCUGGCAGGGGAGAUACCAUGAUCACAAAGGUAGUUUUACCAGGGCGCGGCUUAUCCAUUGCACUCCAGAUGUGCUGACCCUUGCAAUUUCCCCAAAUGUGGAAAACUCGACUGCAUAAUUUGUGGUAGUGGGGGACUGCUGUCGAGCUUUCCCCUA